rnacentral:rRNA from 1 species
AUGACGGAGGCCCUGAAUGACAAAUACUUGGGCUUGCCAGCAAAUGUGGGCGUUGAUAAAACAGACUGCUUUAAAUAUCUGAUUGAACGUAUUGUUAAGAAAAUUAGUGGUUGGAAGGAAAAACUACUAUUUGCCGGGGGGAAGGAGAUCCUUCUCAAGGCUGUGAUCCAAGCCAUACCUACAUAUGCAAUGUCGGUCUUUAAAAUUCCUAAAAAAAUUUGUAAAGGAAUCAUUGACGCGAUAGCACAUUUCUGGUGGGGAGACGAGGAGAACCAGAGGAGGAUGCACUGGAUGGCCUGGUGGAAAUUGUGUGUACCAAAAACCCAAGGAGGAAUGGGAUCCCAUGAUAUCCACUGUUUUAACCUGGCUCUGCUGGCCAAACAGGCAUGGCGUCUCCUUGAUAAUCCCGAUUCCUUGUGUGCCACUAUUCUAAGGGCCAAGUACUACCCUGAUGGCGAUUUGCUGAAUUCCAAGCCAAAGCAUGGUGAUUCCUUCACCUGGCAAAGCAUUAUGGCAGACAUUACUACUCUGAAACGCGGCUAUAUUUGGCGAGUGGGAAAUGGACAUAACAUCAACAUUUGGGAAGAUGCAUGGAUCCCAAAUUGUGCCACUAGGAAGAUUGUGACUCCUAGGAAGGGACAAUUGUUAUCAAGAGUAGUUGAUCUGAUUGACCCUGUUUCCAAUAUUUGGGAUGAGGACCUGAUUAGACAAACUAUGUGGCCCAUUGACGCUAAAUGA